rnacentral:rRNA from 1 species
AUUGAACGCUGGCGGCAGGCCUAACACAUGCAAGUCGAGCGGAUGAAGGGAGCUUGCUCCUGGAUUCAGCGGCGGACGGGUGAGUAAUGCCCAGGAAUCUGCCUGGUAGUGGGGGAUAACGUCCGGAAACGGGCGCUAAUACCGCAUACGUCCUGAGGGAGAAAGUGGGGGAUCUUCGGACCUCACGCUAUCAGAUGAGCCUAGGUCGGAUUAGCUAGUUGGUGGGGUAAAGGCCUACCAAGGCGACGAUCCGUAACUGGUCUGAGAGGAUGAUCAGUCACACUGGAACUGAGACACGGUCCAGACUCCUACGGGAGGCAGCAGUGGGGAAUAUUGGACAAUGGGCGAAAGCCUGAUCCAGCCAUGCCGCGUGUGUAAAGAAGGUCUUCGGAUUGUAAAGCACUUUAAGUUGGGAGGAAGGGCAGUAAGUUAAUACCUUGCUGUUUUGACGUUACCAACAGAAUAAGCACCGGCUAACUUCGUG